UACCAAAAUUUCAGUUUUGUGUGUUCUUGUCUGUCCGACUACUCCUAACUGUAUUUCGGUAAAGUGUCAGCAUCUUAGAAUCGUAGUAAACCGGUUAUAAGAUAUUUUAUACGAUGCAUUAGAGGACCAUAGUAUAAAACAUCCAAUUUCCAAUAGUGUUCAGUAGAUGACUUUGGGUUGAUACCCUUAUAACACCAAGAAAUAUUUUCAUUUCGGCUCUGCUCACAUCUUUCCAUCUAUUCAUUCGACUAAAUACUGUAGUUCGCGAUGCUUUCAAUAAAGCAGCGUAAUUAUUUAUGUAUUUUAACAUUUCAUCUAUGAGUUCGUCUGUCAAAAAAUUAAUUUCUCUAGCCCUUAAUAGUUCUUCUUCUUCAGAAAAUUCAGGAACAGCAAAGCUCAGUUUUUGCCUUUCACUGUCAUAAGGGCGCUCCACAUUCUCAAGAGACAUUCACGCGAGAAUCUCCGGAGAUUCUCAGCGAGAACUGUAGCGAGAACUUCUUCUGGGUACACACUCUCAAAGUUCUCAAAUAGUUCUCACUACAGUUCUCGCGCUCGAUGACGAUGGACGCAGAAGCAACCGCUGCGACAAAUUUAUUGUUAUGCGCAUUCGCAUAUUAUAAUUAUGCGUAUGCUAAAGAGAAAAAAGUUAUUAAAAAGAAGUGGCGAAAAAGAAGAUGGUGGAUAACAAGUAUUCAUCGUAAUAGAACAAGCCUAACUAUGGAUCAGCAGUUUUUCUGCAG